AUGAGAGGGAUGACUAGAAUGCUCUGGGAAAUAUCUUUACUUGACCCAGAGGCGAUUACAGACUAUACACAUGAUACUUUUACUGGGACCAGAGUAUUACUUACAGGCAAGUUCAAAAUAAAACCCGGCACUCCUCAUUCUGUGAAUGUGUGUGUCAUGACAUCUUGUCUCUGUGUUGCAUCAUGUAGGAUCCAAAAGGUGAAAAGAUCCCUGCAGAUCUCUGCAAUCUCUCAAGUUUAUUUCAUUUUGAUUCGUCCAGGAAGUAGGACAAGCGACCGCGAACCUCAUCCACCCCAACGGAAUAUUAUCCGUGAAUCCAAGAACACCCAUCGAUCCCUCUCUUUCUCUCUCACCUUCUCCCACGCGUGCGCCGCCCCACCCCGUGUCUCUAUCCCUUCACCCUCUGCUUCUUCCACGCGUAGCACCAAACCCACCGCCUCGUGCUCUUCCUCCACCUCCACUUUUCUGGAGCACCAAAGUCACACGCGAGGGCCCACCAUCCUCACAGAGAUGGAUCUCAACGGAGCGGAUCUAGCCUCCCUGUCGCCUCCUCCACCGGGAGCGACGACAUCCUCCACCAAGAUCUGCGUGGGGAGGCUGAUGUUCUCGACGGGCAGGAGCACUCGCCGACGUGCUCCAUCUCCUUGUUUGCCACCUCCGUCGAGAGCCGCGUGA
rnacentral:rRNA from 1 species